rnacentral:rRNA from 1 species
UUUGAAAUCUGGCGUCUUCGGCGUCCGAGUUGUAAUUUGUAGAGGAUGCUAUUGAGUUGUCACCGGUCUAAGUUCCUUGGAACAGGACGUCAUAGAGGGUGAGAAUCCCGUAUGUGACCGGCCAGACGCUCUCUGUAUAGCUCCUUCGACGAGUCGGGUUGUUUGGGAAUGCAGCCCUAAAUGGGAGGUAAAUUUCUUCUAAAGCUAAAUACCGGCCAGAGACCGAUAGCGCACAAGUAGAGUGAUCGAAAGAUGAAAAGCACUUUGGAAAGAGAGUUAAAAAGCACGUGAAAUUGUUGAAAGGGAAGCGCUUGCAAUCAGUCUCGACGGCGGCUGUUCGGCCUCUCUUCUGAGUGGUUUAUUCAGUCGCCGCCGGGCCAGCAUCAGUUCUGGCGGUCGGAUAAAGACGCGGGGAAUGUAGCUCCUCUCGGGGAGUGUUAUAGCCUCGCGUGCAAUACGGCCUGCCGGGACUGAGGUCCGCGCUUCGGCUAGGAUGCUGGCGAAAUGGUUGUAAGCGGCCCGUCUUGAAACACGGACCAAGGAGUCUAACAUCUAUGCGAGUGUUUGGGUGUCAAACCCGUACGCGUAAUGAAAGUGAACGGAGGUGGGAACCGCAAGGUGCACCAUCGACCGAUCCUGAUGUCUUCGGAUGGAUUUGAGUAAGAGCAUAGCU